AUGGCGUCGUCCUGGUUAGCACAAUUAUUUAUUAAGUUGCGUGUUGAAACUUGGUAUUAUGUUUUUGCUAUUUUCAUGGUGCUUGUUGCGCGGCUUUGCUCCAUGGAGAGGCUGCUUCUCGAGCUCCCCAACACACUCCAGAAAAUACUGGCCGACCAGCUUGGUGCUUUUCAGAGGUACACGUCGUGCCUACACCUAUUUGCAAGCACACAUGUUCAUGUCAGAAUUGAAGUUCCCGCCCAAAAAUUGUGCUCUUCUUUACCUUGGCCCGCCCAAAAAUUUCUAUGUAGCUCCGCCACUGCCCCUAUGAAUCCUGAUGUGCUUGACAAGAGAAGAGGUUGGCCGCCCUUUUUCCUGCUGGUAGCUUGCCAUUUCUCACGCAUGCCCUUCACUGCAGCAUGGUAUGAAGAACAUGGGGACGGGGAGCCUCUCCAACUGGUGGUUGAGCACGGCGGAGCGCCUCAAGGCUGA
rnacentral:rRNA from 1 species